UACGAAGGGGGCUAGCGUUGUUCGGAAUUAUUGGGCGUAAAGCGCGCGCAGGCGGUCAUUUACGUCUGGGGUGAAAGCCCGGAGCUCAACUCCGGGAUUGCCUUGGAUACGGGAUGACUUGAGGAUCGGAGAGGCAAGGGGAAUUCCACGUGUAGCGGUGAAAUGCGUAGAGAUGUGGAGGAACACCUGUGGCGAAGGCGGCUCUCUGGGACGGUACUGACGCUGAGACGCGAAAGCGUGGGGAGCGAACAGG
rnacentral:rRNA from 1 species